rnacentral:rRNA from 1 species
GCUUGUCUCAAAGAUUAAGCCAUGCAUGUCUAUGUUCAAAUAACCUAUAACGGUGAAACCGCGAACGGCUCAUUAUAACAGCUACAAUGUACUUGAUCUUGAUUAUCCUACGUGGAUAACUGUGGUAAUUCUAGAGCUAAUACAUGCACCAAAGCUCUGACUUUUGGACGAGCGCAUCUAUUAGAUUAAAACCAAUCGGGCUUCAAACCCGUCAUUUGGUGACUCUGAAUAGCUAUGGCUGAUCGCAUGGUCUUGUACCGGCGACGUAUCUAUCAAGUGUCUGCCUUAUCAACUUUCGAUGGUAGUUUAUGUGCCUACCAUGGUUGUAACGGGUAACGGAGAAUAAGGGUUCGACUCCGGAGAGGGAGCCUGAGAAACGGCUACCACAUCCAAGGAAGGCAGCAGGCGCGCAAAUUACCCACUCUCGGCAUGAGGAGGUAGUGACGAAAAAUAACGAGACCGUUCUCUUUGAGGCCGGUUAUCGGAAUGGGUACAAUUUAAACCCGUUAACGAGGAUCUAUGAGAGGGCAAGUCUGGUGCCAGCAGCCGCGGUAAUUCCAGCUCUCAAAGUGUAUAUCGUCAUUGCUGCGGUUAAAAAGCUCGUAGUUGGAUCUGCGCCUCAGGACCUGGUCCAUCUUAUGGAUGAGAACUGGGCUCCUAGGCUAACACUGCCGGUUUUCUUUACGUUACCUUCAUCGGUCGCGUAGGGUGGCCGGCGAGUUUACCUUGAAAAAAUUAGAGUGCUCAAAGCGGGCUAAUGCCUGAAUAUUCGUGCAUGGAAUAAUGAAAUAGGAUCUCGGUUCUAUUUUGUUGGUUUUCUGAUCUGAGAUAAUGGUUAAGGGGGACAGGCGGGGGCAUUCGUAUCGCUGCGUGAGAGGUGAAAUUCUUGGACCGUAGCGAGACGCCCGACUGCGAAAGCAUUUGCCAAGAAUGUCUUCAUUAAUCAAGAACGAAAGUCAGAGGUUCGAAGGCGAUCAGAUACCGCCCUAGUUCUGACCGUAAACGAUACCAACUAGCGUUCCGUCGGCGGUAAAUACGCCUUGACGGGCAGCUUCCCGGAAACGAAAGUCUUUCGGUUCCGGGGGAAGUAUGGUUGCAAAGCUGAAACUUAAAGAAAUUGACGGAAGGGCACCACCAGGAGUGGAGCCUGCGGCUUAAUUUGACUCAACACGGGAAAACUCACCUGGCCCGGACACCGUGAGGAUUGACAGAUUGAGAGCUCUUUCUUGAUUCGGUGGUUGGUGGUGCAUGGCCGUUCUUAGUUGGUGGAGUGAUUUGUCUGGUUUAUUCCGAUAACGAGCGAGACUCUAGCCUACUAAAUAGUCACUGGAUGAUUGAGUCCAGAUGACUUCUUAGAGGGACAAGCGGUGCUUAGCCGCAUGAAGUUGAGCAAUAACAGGUCUGUGAUGCCCUUAGAUGUCCAGGGCUGCACGCGCGCUACACUGGAGGAAUCAGCGUGCUGUAACCAUUGCCGAAAGGCAUUGGUAACCCCAUGAAAAUCCUCCGUGAUCGGGAUCGGGAAUUGCAAUUAUUUCCCUUGAACGAGGAAUUCCUAGUAAGUGUGAGUCAUCAGCUCACGUUGAUUACGUCCCUGCCCUUUGUACACAUCGCCCGUCGCUGCCCGGGACUGAGCCGUUUCGAGAAAUGCGGGGACCGCUGUUUAGAUACCUUUCGGGGUGGAUAUUCUUGGUGGAAACCGCCUUAAUCGCAGUGGCUUGAACCGGGCAAAAGUCGUAGCAAGGUUUCCGUAGGUGAACCUGCAGAAGGAUCA